rnacentral:rRNA from 1 species
UACGUAGGGUGCAAGCGUUGUCCGGAAUUAUUGGGCGUAAAGAGCUCGUAGGCGGCGCGGAUAGUCGGCGGUGAAAGCCCGGAGCUCAACUCCGGGUCGGCCGUCGAUACUUCCGGGCUUGAGCACUGUAGAGGCAGAUGGAAUUCCGGGUGUAGCGGUGGAAUGCGUAGAGAUCCGGAAGAACACCGGUGGCGAAGGCGGUCUGCUGGGCAGUUGCUGACGCUGAUGCGCGAAAGCGUGGGGAGCAAACAGG